UACGUAGGGGGCUAGCGUUGUCCGGAAUCAUUGGGCGUAAAGAGCGUGUAGGCGGCCCGGUAAGUCCGCUGUGAAAGUCAAAGGCUCAACCUUUGAAUGUCAGCGGAUACUGCCGGGCUAGAGUCCGGAAGAGGCGAGUGGAACUCCUGGUGUAGCGGUGGAAUGCGCAGAUAUCAGGAAGAACACCAACGGCGAAGGCAGCUCGCUGGGACGGUACUGACGCUGAGGCGCGAAAGCGUGGGGAGCGAACAGG
rnacentral:rRNA from 1 species